rnacentral:tmRNA from 1 species
GGGGACGACUGGUUUUGACAGCGAGAUGCGUUGAAAUGUAAGCAUACCGAGGAAUGAAGUUACUACUCGUAAAACUUAUUUCACCAUUUUAAACGGCGAAGAUAACUACGCUUUAGCAGCUUAAUAAUCUGAAUUAUAGUAAGAUUCAAGCCUCGGCACACUAGGUGUGCAUGCUUUAUGUCCACGAAAAGCCUUGGUUUAUGGCGUUUCACUUUUGGGCAUCGUAAAAGUAAACCUAGAAAUUUUGGAGCUUUGACAAGAUUUUGAAAUCUAAAAAAGCUAAGCUUGUAGUAGGUUGUUUUUGAUCAGCUACUUGACAAAAAUCAAACAAAAACUAAGUAUGUAGAAAGCCUUUUAGCCGCUUGUUUGGACCCGAGUUCGAUUCUCGGCGUCUCCACUA